CGGAUCAAACAGGAAGUGUGAUCUAAGGGUUAAAGCAGGCGACUUGGAAUCAGGAGACACGAGUACUAGCCUGAACAUUGCCACAGAUUCUCUGUGCGACCUUGGACAAGUCACUUCAGCUUCUUUACUGUCCACUGGAUGUCCAACAUGAGACAUCUAGGAACUGAUUAUCGGAAGUGCUGAGACCUCUAGCUCCAACUGAAGUCAAUUGGAAAAGCAGGGCUUCGGGACCUUUGCGUAACCUGCCAUCUCACUGAUCCCUCAGGAAUUUCGCAAUGAAAUUAGUGAAACCUACUGCGAGGGUGAGAAGGUGGUCGGUUGGCGAGAAGAGGACAGAUGACAAAUG